GCUUGAUCCUUUUCAAGAUCCUCCAAGUUAGAGAUCAGAACACUGGCUUCACUAGAUGCAAACAGGGUGGUGCUGACCGGCAUGCAAAGUCCUUGAGCGCUGGUGUUCUACUGAUCAUGAUGGAGAAAGACGCAAUCAAGUGACCUUCUGUGCUGCGCAGGGAUGUUUUGGUCAGUGGCAGAUGAAGGCAGUAGGCUGCGCGUUGGUGUGUAGCAGGCUAGAACACAGAGCCUUAGCAUGCAGCAGGCUGUAUCAUAUAUAGCUUUCAUGUGUUGCAGGCUAGAGUUUGCAGCCUUGACAUGCAGCAUGCUAGACCAUAGAGCUUACGUGUGAAGGCUGGGUGGCUGAGGCAUGUGUAGCAGAGUUUGGGGCGAACCUUUUAUAAAU
rnacentral:lncRNA from 1 species